CAGGUUCUCCAUAUGCCUGCAUGGCUUCUUUAUGGGUGUCCUGGCUUUCUUCCACGGUCCAAAAACAUUACUGUGAGGUUAAUUGGUGUCUCUAAAUUGUCCUUAGGUGUGAGUGUGUGUGCAUCGUUGUUUGC